CUGGGUCAAAGAGGACGCAACCGCCUCGCCGCUUCCCUGCUCCUGCACUCCGUCGUGUCAUCGAUGUUCAUCUGAUUUCCUCUGGUGGCACGGAUGACGACGCCUUACGACAACUGAUGGAAAACAUGGCGUGUCGUCUAAAAUUCUGACACAUCUCGUCAAUGGUCUAUGAUGUCCUGCUUGGUACGUGUUCCACACUGAUGACCAAUGCUGAAGAACUGAUCGAACGAGUGUUUUGUAAGCUGCCUCCUUUGUGGGUGGACCACACUUAGUGAGGAUUCUUCCAAUGAUUCUUAGUUACUAGUGGCGCCUGCCUUUCCUGCAAGUGGGUUUAUUGGGUCGCUCCGGUUCACAUCGUAUCUGUACUCGCAGCAACGUUCUUCGAAAACCGCCUCUUGGAGUGAUAUCGCAACAAGCAGUCCUGAAAGAGACUUCCUAGUACAUGGUGGCAGUACGUUAUGUACACUGAUAUAUAUCAGAAAAUACGUGCUACAUCCGCUCAACACACUCCAGAAGUGCGGUGCGACCCAUGGCUCGAGUCUUAUUACAUUCUACGUCAUAUUGGGAGACCUGCACGCUGCAUGGGGAUGAAAUGACGAUGAAGACAACACAACACCCAGUCCCUCAUCGGAGAAAAUCCCCGACCCAGCCAGGAAUCAAACCCGGGUCCCUUAGGACGGCAGUCCGUCACGCUGACUAUUCAGAUAUCGGGGCGGACCAUCUAAUGGCGAAUUCGGCUAUAAAGCGAAUAUGGAAACAACCUAACGAAAGAAGACAACGCCACAGAAGAGCAGUUACGAAGAGGAAAACUGAAGGACGGUACAAAAUUCCAUACACGAAGCAAACGCCGAUUAUGGAGGUUCUGGAGAAGAUGGUAGGAGAUGGCCAUUCCGCUAUCCUCUGCUGGAGUGAAAUCACACAACGGGGUCUCUGGCAGGGAAGCUGCCGUUACAGGACACAGUGUAUUGACUCCAGUCCUAAUUACAGAUUACUGAUAUGUGUUACACAGUGGCAUCAUAGAAUACGGUCCCCGUGACUUGGAGGAAACCUCAAGGCAGCUUACCGCCAAACAACGAAGAGUCAACGAAUGCCGACCUGCCGCCGUGUCAUCCCCUGCCUUGCGGUGUCACGUGGAUGCUGUUUGUAGGGGCAUAUGGCGAGCACACCGGUCUCCCAGCCGUUUUGCAGACUUUCCAGACGGCGGAGCCGCCACUACUCGUUCAAGAAGCUCCUCAUUUGGUAUCACGAGGCUGAGUGUACCACGAACCAGUCCUCCCACUAAUGAAAAAAUCCAAAGCAGUACCGUGUAUCGAACCUGGGACCUCCACAUCACAUAGUCAACAAAGAUAACUAAGCAGUAAUUCACCCGUCGGUCUCCUAUUCCACGAAAGCCUGUACAUAUUCAAUGACUGGGCACCUCGCCUCUCCAACAGCCAAACCUAAACUUAACCACAAAUGUUUCUAUAAACACCUCCACUGGCUCCUCAAGGUUCAGGCGAUUUUGUGCUCUUGUGGAGAAGAAAGCGACGCAGAUUAGCUUUUCUUCAGGCGCCCCAAACUGCAAGGAAGUACUACAGUUCUUUCACGUGAACUUGUGAAGCUUUGCCAUCCAGCGCGGACCUGCGUGACACUUUUGUUAGCAACACCGUGUGACAGACUGUCUAGAUUAGAUUAGAUUAGAUUAGAUU